UACGGAAGGGGCAAGCGUUGUUCGGAAUCAUUGGGCGUAAAGGGCGCGUAGGUGGUUCUGUAUGUCUACCGUGAAAGCGUACGGCUCAACCGUAUUUUGUCGGUGGAAACUGCAGGACUUGAGGCUGGGAGGGGCUGGUGGAAUUCCCUGUGUAGCGGUGAAAUGCGUAGAGAUGGGGGAGAACACUCGUGGCGAAGGCGGCCAGCUAGACCAGUUCUGACGCUGAGGCGCGAAAGCGUGGGGAGCAAACGGG
rnacentral:rRNA from 1 species